CGCACAAAGACUCACACAAUCACCCAGACGUGCUGAGAUUGUUGUCACGGUAACCUUUUAGCCACACAUCUGUGUGUCUUGGUGAAACUGCCAGAAAAUGGGUCCAUCCACUGUCUCCUUGGUUUCAUAGGUGAUUUUCCAUCAGCAUCGCUAUCACUGACCUCAUUUCACACUGACAGUUUCUGUCUCUUCUCUUCCAAAAAUGUCAGCAGGUGAUGGGUGGGUGAAAAAGGGGAGGAAUGGCCAAUAAGCAUGAUGGGAGGAAGACCGUCUGUCUCCUUUUUUCUGCCUGAGAAUGAACCUUACUUUUUUUUUUUUUUAUGCUUUCCUAUUAGCCAAGCACAUUAAUAGCUUCACCCGGUGUCGUAGUGGGUGUCACACAAUUGAAACGUCUAAUUGUAAUGAAAGACCGCUGUGACCUGAUUGGUGAUAUUUUUAUAAUAAAUGUUGAUUUAAAUGUGAUUGCACCUGCAAAUUAUCAUUUUAUAUAUUUAUAUGCAAAUGCACUGUAAAAUCAAUUAUACUCAAUUGGAUUUAUAACUUCAUAUCUAUGUGUGGAGAAAGCAAAGCGUGGAGACUCCCUGUCCCUGAAAUUCAGUGAAUGAGACACGUUUUUGGAAAAGUCGUUUCUUCCUGGAUAAUCGUACCAUGUUUUCAUGGUUCAAUAAAUAAUCCAUUGACAGUGCAUCGGUACAUGCCUUACACUUGCAGCUCAGAAAAAAACUGUUUUAACCCAUGCUGAGUAUUUUUUUUUCCAAACAGGAUUGUCACUGUUUAUUGGCCUUUAGAAAGAUGUCUCACUUUACUAUUCAGGACAUCCUUGGCUUUCAUCCCAUCCUCAAUUAGAUUGAACUUCCAACUGCUCUGUUAGUGUUUGGAUUAGGCGGUAUUAUGAAGGAAUUCGAGUGUUUGAAAUCCUGCCUUGCCUUUGACCUCCUGCAUCAAGCAUUUGACAGCUAUCUGGCUUUAAGAAGGAGACGUGUGUAUUGCGGUAUUUUAGUGUGCAAGAGCUUGUGUUUAUUCAUACGUGUUGGUGAAAGCUUCCUUAUGCGUGCCGUUGCUGUGUUGUCAUGACCUUACGUCACACUCCUUAACUCUUCUUUUUCGUACGCCAUCGAGCGAGAUACGGGUCAAAGCAAGAGCGAGAGAUUCCUCGAAUGUUUCCUUCUCGAGCCUUUUUUUGAAUCUGACGGUAAAUAACUUGAGUGUGAAUCAAAA